rnacentral:rRNA from 1 species
AUACGAAUGGUGCAAGCGUUGUUCGGAAUCACUGGGCAUAAAGCGCGCGUAGGCGGCGGUAUAAGUCAGUUGUGAAAUCCCUCGGCUCAACCGAGGAACUGCAACUGAAACUGUGCCGCUGGAGUGUGGGAGGGGGGAACGGAAUUCCUGGUGGAGCGGUGAAAUGCAUAGAUAUCAGGAGGAACGCCGGAGGCGAAAGCGGUUCUCUGGCCCACAACUGACGCUGAGGUGCGAAAGCUAGGGGAGCAAACAGGAUUAGAAACCCCGGUAGUCC